rnacentral:rRNA from 1 species
GACGAACGCUGGCGGCGUGCUUAACACAUGCAAGUCGAACGCUGAAGCUUGGUGCUUGCACUGGGUGGAUGAGUGGCGAACGGGUGAGUAAUACGUGAGUAACCUGCCCUUGACUCUGGGAUAAGCCUGGGAAACUGGGUCUAAUACUGGAUACGACAUGUCAACGCAUGGUGGUGUGUGGAAAGGGUUUUAAUGGUUUUGGAUGGGCUCACGGCCUAUCAGAUUGUUGGUGGGGUAAUGGCUCACCAAGGCGACGACGGGUAGCCGGCCUGAGAGGGUGACCGGCCACACUGGGACUGAGACACGGCCCAGACUCCAACGGGAGGCAGCAGUGGGGAAGAGUGCACAAGGGGCGGAAGCCUGAUGCAGCGACGCCGCGUGAGGGAUGGCGGCCUUCGGGUUGUAAGCCUCUUUCAGCACGGAAGAAGCGAAAGUGACGGUACGUGCAGAAGAAGCGCCGGCUAACUACGUG